AUUGAACGCUGGCGGCAUGCUUUACACAUGCAAGUCGAACGGUAACAGGCCGCAAGGUGCUGACGAGUGGCGAACGGGUGAGUAAUGCACCGGAACGUGCCCAGUCGUGGGGGAUAACUACUCGAAAGAGUAGCUAAUACCGCAUACGAUCUAUGGAUGAAAGCGGGGGACCGUAAGGCCUCGCGCGAUUGGAGCGGCCGAUGUCAGAUUAGGUAGUUGGUGGGGUAAAGGCUCGCCAAGCCAACGAUCUGUAGCUGGUCUGAGAGGACGACCGGCCACACUGGGACUGAGACACGGCCCAGACUCCUACGGGAGGCAGCAGUGGGGAAUUUUGGACAAUGGGCGCAAGCCUGAUCCAGCAAUGCCGCGUGCAGGAAGAAGGCCUUCGGGUUGUAAACUGCUUUUGUACGGGACGAAACGGCUCUGGUUAAUACCCGGGGCUAAUGACGGUACCGUAAGAAUAAGCACCGGCUAACUACGU
rnacentral:rRNA from 1 species